UUCCAAUGAAAAAUGGUUUUAUGAGUAUCUCAAAUACUUAAAUCGUUAAUAAACGUCUUUAAAUUAAGCAGAAGGACAUUAUUCGUUUGUUGCUUCGGGAUCCCAUUUGAAAGGGAACAGGAAAUGUACAGGAAUCACGUUGCGAGGAACACAGGGAGAUAUAAAAAAAAUGUUCCGGCACGAUUUAUACUAAGUGGUGGAGGACAAACAGCAACCGAAACUCAACGGAUCGGAAUACAAAGAAGAAAAACUAGACGUUAACCUACAUGAAGGUUCACUAAUAAUUGCUAAAAGAAGUUAACGUUCCAAAAAUGGUUCAAAGAAAUCAGGAAUAAAAUGAGCCUGAUAGAUCGGAAAAGAUAAAAGCCGGAAGAAUUCUCGUGCAUUGCAAUGAAGCAGGAUGCAAACUACUUGGCUGAGAACCCUCUGUGGAAAGUCUACUUUCGGUGUUCUUCGAAGCGCACCCAAAGGAUAAGGGCAUCGUAUAGUGCGUGGGCUAUCAGAAAUAUAUGCAGAAAUAUAUUCGGUGCUGCGAGACGCCGGCGGCCAACUUUUAAUUGUGGCACCUUAACUACGGAACAUGCCCGGAAUUUGCUGCCGUACUCGCCCAGUACACCAUCUGUAAUCUACAAAAAACAGAUCCAGUGCCAUCUAAAGCAAAAGGAUUGCUCGAGCGGAAGUCUUACUUUCGAGAUAACCAGAAUGUCACUGGAAUGCUUUGGCUGCAAAAUACUAUUCGAUACACCGAUACUAUUUCAUGUAAUAUAUUGUUUAUGUUUGUAAAAUGAUUCUAAAGACAAUAAAAACUGAUAGCUUGUUGUUUAGAAAAUUAUUUAA